rnacentral:lncRNA from 1 species
CAGGGAAGGGAAGCCUCCGCCGAGGUGGCUUCCGAGGGACGCCAUCAAGUUGUUGCCAUGCUCUGCGCUUCCACCGCCGCCGCCGGUGACGUUGAACUGGUCUUGGAUGACAAGGCGCGCGUCCUGGCUGCCGGACGUGCCACCAUUGUUGCCAGCUGAGAAGAACCCAAGGUUCAGGAGGCUGUUGUUACCGUUGGCGACGGCGGCGUUGCUGCUGCCCGGCCCCGGCUGGUGGUGCUGCUCGGGAAGUUGCAUUAGGCCAUGGAAGGGCGCCUUGCCGUGCAGCAGAGGGCCCUGGCUGCCUUGGGAGCCGUCCUCGGAGAAAUCCUGGGCGGCAGGAGGAGCGCCGCCGCCGAGGAAGUAGGAUGGCGAGGAGGCCGACGCCUGAGAGCGGAACAUGGAGCUGGAGCCCGAGGACGAUGGCAUGAUGUGGUCAAACUGCGCGGCUGCAGCUGAAGAGGACUGGCCGGCUUGGUCUGCAAAGCCAUGCAUCUGGGCGACGGUGCCGGAGAGCCCGAGGCUCAUGCUGCCGGGGCCGGCGUAGAGGCCGGCGCCCAGGGGCGGCAUCUGCGCGCUCUCACGAGCCAGCGCGUCGCAGAAGGCGCGGUGGGUGAUGAAGCUGUCCCUCCUGCACGCAUGCACAGUUGCACACACAUGGAAGAGUUAUUUUUUUUUAAAAAAAAGCUAAGACGGAAGAGUUAAAAUCUAAAGAAUAUACACAUAUAAUGAAGUGUAGAGUACAUACAUACAGGCAUACAACAUUAGCUUAAUUGCCAAACUUUGCAAUGAUAUCUUAGCUAUAUUUCAUAAAAAUAUUCAAGUCGUUUAUGAAUAAAUAAUAGAACAUAAAAACCGAUUUAAAAUUAAAUGCCAAGAUAGACACUCGUCCAAAUCAAAAUUAGAUGUUUUAGGCUGUUUAUUUGGGUUUGCAAAUAUACAUGUUGUUUUUCUGUAGGCAAUAUAUAUAUUGUGCCUGCCAACAUUUCGUGGACGUGGUUCCAAAAAAAAACUUGACCAUGUUAAUAUCAUUCGCUUAAGUAAUUGGCAAUAUAUAUGUAGGUAUGACUUACUCCCUCCAUUCUGAAAUAUAAGCUAAUAUAUUGAAAAUUUGUGUCGAACUAUACGGGUUCUGGAUGAAUAACCCUCAAGCUCAGUUUCAAAAGGUAUCACUCACAUGCAUACCUACCAUUGAUGGCUAUCGCCAACACAAAUAUCUCUCCACAGUUAAGGUAGGGUUAAUUCCGGCCAUUUGCUUUACCUCAUAAUAUGUCCUAAAUUUUCUAGGAUGUCUUUAUUUUAGACAGAUUCGAGUAUAUGGGAAGAUUAUGCAAAAAUAAGAACAAGAUAUUAACGUUUUCUUAAUUCCAUAUGCAUGAUGCUAAAAUAACAAGUACAAGCAACCCAAAACUCAAUUCAAAAGAACAACAUUCAUAUGCAUACCUACCAUUAGCAUCAUCUAUCACCAAUCUAAAUAUGACAACCAUAAGAUCUUCCCGAUUAAGGGGGCGUUACGUGCAUCAUUUGCUUUGCUUUCCGCAUAAUAUGUCCUAGAAUUCUUAAGGUACAUUAUAUUUCAAGACAGAGGUAGUUUUAGACUAAAGAGUAUUAGGAAUAGUAUGUGGUAUAUACUCUCUCUGGCCUCACAAAAACUUAUAUCUUUUAGGACAAGGUUUAGUGAACAAUGAAAAAAAAUACAAACACUAGUAUCUAUACAUGACAUUAUUUAGUUUGGAAACAUGUAAACUAUUAUGUAUAUUCAUAUUUAAAAACUUGCAAAGUCUCUUAAAUUUGAAGGAUUUUAAAAAAUAUUUUCUAGAAAAAAUUAGCUGUCAAAGAUAAGCAUUAAAGAUAGUGUAAAGUCAAGUGUGCCAGAUAUUUUUGACCAGAGUUAGUAUAGUAACCAGCAAUUUACCAGCACAACCUUUUUUCUAAUUAAAGAUUCAUACAAAAAUAAUAAGAUAUUUAAUAUUAAAUCAGUAAUAUGUAGCCGAUCACUACCCCUUUUUCUAGCAGGAAGUCUACUUAUUUAUGGAGUGACAAUUCUUCAAGUGACAGGAAGCUUAUUUAAGGAGCAGAAAUUUUUUAACAAUGAUGUGUGCUAGCUCAUUUAAUUAGUGAUGAGUCAAAUGUUAUCAAUUCUUGAAUGUACUGAAUGGAGUGAUAAUUACUGGAGCAAUGUUGUACAGGUAGAAUACUAGAAUGAGCGUAAACCGUUGCCAGCACAACAUUUGACUGGCCGUGCAAACCAACAUCAUUCUUGAAUUUCACAGAAACGAGAAUCAAGAAAUCAGCACAAUAUUUCUCCGAUAAACGACAGAGAAAUCAGCCCACAAGUGAGUUUAAUGCAGCUAUAUAUAUGCACUACACUACAGCACAUACCAAGAGAAACGUCCAUGUACUGUACGUACGUACAACAGAUGCACACCAGCUGUAGUACAGAAAAUACAGGCCUGUACGUGACUAGUAAAACGAGCGGCAAGGGAACGAAACAAAAACAAUUAACCGGAGCCGCCAGACGACGGGUCGAAGCCAGCCAGCCGGCACCGCGGCAGAGCGCGUGCGCGCCCAGUUCUGGCAAGUCUCGCCAUGCAUGCAUCAAGCUCGUGAACAGGUGGGGAUGCAAGCAAUGCAAACUUGCGCGGAGAGAGAGAGAGAGACAGAGAGAGAGAGAGAGAGAGAGAGACAGUCAGUGAGUUUGCAGUCGCGCGCGGGGCGUGGAUUACGAGGUGAAAAGAGGAACUGCCGUCAAAUGACCACCAUGUCAGGAAGAGUGCUGCGCGCAUAUCUCCAGUCCCCUCCCGACAAGAGAAACUCACGUGGGAGCAGCUCCUCCUCCUCCAGUCCUCCUGAGCCUCGCUUUCUCUCAGUCCCUCUCUCUCUCUCUCAGUCUCUCUCUCUCUCUCUCUCUCCCCAGCAGCUAGCCCCAGCGAAGGAAUCCUAAACCCGCAAGCUACACACACGGACACACCACACCAGCACAGCAUCUUUGUUACUGACAGCCCAAACCCUAACGCAUCACAUCAUCGACCGCCUCGCAACUCAUCAUCACACAAUCAUGGACGCAAAAAAGAAUUCGUAAAGAAAUGGAGGACAGAAAAACACGGCAACCAAAAAGCUAUAGAGAAUCGAUCCACAAUUCCAAUGCAAGCACGCAGCUCAUGCGCGCCGGGCCGGCCCCGCACGCCGGCGGUCGGGAACGGAGCGGCCGGCCGGUGGAAAGAACGUACGAAUAAAGAGGAACCGGAUCGGACGGACCUGGAGAAGAGGGUGCCGCAGUCGCAGCGGUACUCGCGGGUGCCGCAGGUCUUGGAGUGCGCCUUCCAGUCGGACUGCACGGCGUAGCGCUUGUUGCACUUGUCGCACUUCCACUUCUUCUCGCCGUGCUUGCGGCAGUAGUGCUUCUUGAUCCCCGUGAGGUCGCCCAGCGCCCGGGACGGGUCGUGGUGCACGCACGUCGGCUCCGGGCACAGGUACACCCGCCGCCGCACGUCCUUGGGGUUCUUCUGCUUCAGCUUCCACGGCAGGUUGUGGCCCCGCCGGUGCAGCUGCAGGUUCUGCUCCCGCUGGAACCCCUUGUUGCACACCUCGCACACGAACCGGUUCGUCGCCAGCAGCGUCCGCGGCGACAGCGCGAUCACCUCCGCGUCAGGAUCUGUACAUGUAUGUAUAUAUGCGCACGACGAUCGAUCAUCGAUCGAUCGAUCGAUCAGACAAACAAAAGAAAUAGAGUUAAUCAUCUCGUCGAUCGAUCAGAUCGAUCGUUCAACACACAAAUAAUCACAAGUGGUAUAUAUAUAGUUAGCUAGGGCCAGGAGGACUUGCUUGGGUUGCCUGGCUGGUUCCUCUUCUUCUUGGGCGGCGGCGCCGCGACAUCGGGAGCGGCAGUGGAGUUUUGCUGCAGAGAGGAGGAACCGGCCUGUGGCUGCAUCUGCGUGUCGGCGAGCCCAAAGAAGGGCGCGGACGAGGCGGCCGCCAUCUCUCGGAAGGAAAGAAAACACGCGCGGACCGGCCGCCGCAGCUAGCUCCUCCUUUGGCGCACUCGGUCGAUCACAGCAGGCGGAGGCGGCUGCGUGACUGGCAGCUUCCUCCGUCCGUCGUUGGACUCUACUAGCUCUCAGGUGACCGACGACCAGUCCGAGUCAGAGAGAGGCGACGACAUGGCAGGCAGGCGGCGCCGUGUAUCUAUCUGCCUGGAUUCCGGCGUCUUGCGAGCGAGAGAUCUGGUGGCCUGGUGAUCUAAAGAGACAAAGAGGAGAGCAAGAAAAGAAAACCAUAGAAGAGAACACAGCGUGUGAGAACAAAGAGAUAAUAAAUAUGAUGACCAAGAUUUAGCAGUGUAGCAAAGCAAGGAAGCCAAGAGGAUGGAUGGAUCGGAUGGGUGGAUAAAUCUGUGCGUAUGUGCGCCACAACAUGCCACACCGAACCAAAUAGACCACCCAUCGUAUAUCCAUCCCUUCCCCGUGCAAGCAAACAAAGCAAGGGAGAUGACAAACAGGUUGCACUCACACACGCACACGCCCGCAAGAAACCAAAGAACGAAAUCAAACCCGGCCGUGCCAACAAGCUCAGAUCAGAAGCGGCUGGAGAGGAAAAUGGCUCAAACGAGCAAAGCAACAGACUAUCGAUACAGAUAAUAGCUAGACCUAGAAAGAGAGAGAUUGGGGAAAGGCAAUAGUCUAGUAGCGCUUUGUUGAAUCGGAUCGGAGCAGAUGGGCUCUCCGUCGUCGUCCGCAACAAACGCUCCAAAACAACGAGAGAAUAAUCGGGCACCCGACAGGAUUCGAUUAAAAUAGCGCAACCAAGAUGAUGAACACCGAGAAAACGCCGAGGAAUUUGCGCGAGAAUCGAACGAAACCAAGCUAGCAAACAGGAGGAACAGGCGAGCCCUACCGCUUGUUGCUUUCCUCCUCCGCGCGGCCCUCCCAGUCUAGGAUAUCUCCCGCGGCCCCCGACCGCAGCAGCAAUAGUAGUGGUGGUGUGGGAGUGGUUGCGCAGCGGCAGCGCUGCCUGCUUCUCUCCCUAAUAUAUGCACGGCCGGGGGCCUGGCGGGUCGAGACGAGAGAGAGAGAGAGAGAGAGAGAGAGAGAGAGAGCGACCGGCAGGUGGAGUGGUCGCACGGCCCACGCGGCGCGUGGGGGCCACUGGAGCCCACACAGGUCUCUCGCACCGAUGGUGAUGCAAGCGUAGACCGAUCAGGGGGCGCCCGUUCUGUUUCUCAUUCUCCCCGGCCGAGACCACGAGACGACGGCGUGCGUACAAUGCAUACCAGCACGCACCGCCUACGAACAUUUCCCCUGACUUCCCGUGGGUAACAGUAGCAGAGCACGCAGCAAACACCAGGCCGCCGGCCGCCUGGCUGGUCUGGUCCUCUCUCUCUCUCUCUUCACGUGGACUACCCUUCAGACCGUCACCCUUUGUUCUGUAGCAUUUAGCUACUUCCCAAUGUUCCCUAGCAAAACUUUCGACGUGCCUCACAUGUAUACAUGAUAGAUCCUCUUUCCCUUAUAUAGUUACGCCGUGUUUGGUAGUGCUCCAUGACUCAUGUAACGAAACACUCUCCCGUUAAACCGUUGCGCUCUAGAAAAUAAACACGCUAAGAGGAGCACGAACAGGGAGGAGGAGCCAAAAAAAAAAAGAAGGUUUGCUUAGCUCACCGUUGCUCGGUUGCUCCCGUGGAGUCAGCGUGCGCAUCAGCUAAGCACGGAGUGAGGCGCGUCAGCACAUCAUAGGACAUAGCUUUGUAUGGUGUUACAUUUAAGUCAUAGAAACCGAAAAUUAUGCCAUGUUUCACAAUUUACGACACACAUGACAAAGAUCCCAUUUGUUGCCUAUUCCUCGUAGCUAAAGGUGUUCUACGACAAAAUUGAUAUUCUCGUCUUAAUUUCGCGUGGAAUAUAUCCAUCAGGCAUUCACCAUUUGUUCCGUAGCAUCUAGCUACCCCAAAUGUUUCCUAGCAAAACUUUUGAAGUGCCUCGUAUGUAUAUGAUAAAUCCUCCCCUUAUGUAGUUACACCACGUUUGGUAACGCUCUCCACGACUCCAGUAAGGAAACACUCUCCUGUUGAACCGUUGCGCAACUAAAGUUUUAGAAAAUAAAUGCACUACGAGGAGCACGGAAAGGGAGCUGGUGCCAAAAAAGAAAGCUUUGCUUAGCUCCCAGUCGCUCGGUCGCACCCGUGGGCUCAGUGUGCGCGUCAGCUAAUCACGGAGUGGGGCGCAUCAUGGCAUCACAGACAAGAGACAACCUUUUAUGGCAUUACAUUUAAGUCGUGGAAACUGAAAAUUAUGCCAUGUUUCACAAUUUACGAUGCACACACGACAAAGAUCCCAUUCAUCAUCUCCUAUUGUUCCCUGUAGGGUUUAAGGUGUUCUAAGACAAAAUUAAUAUUCUCAUCUUAAUUUCACAUGGACUAUAUCCUUUAGGUUUUCACCCCUUUGUUCUGUAGAAUUUAGCUUCCUCCAAAUGUUCCCUAAUCCCUAGCAAAACUUUUGAUGUGCCUCUUAUGUAUACGACAAAUCCUUCCCUUAUAUAGUUAUGCUAUGUUUCGUAACACUCCACAAGAAGCUCCACGACUCUGGUAACGAAACGCUCUCCCUUUGAACCAUUAUGCAAGUAAAGGUCCAAAAAAUAAAAGCACUAAGAGGACCACAAACAGGGAGCUGAAGCCAAAAAAAGGAAGGUUUGAUUAUCUCCUUGUUGCUCGGUCGCUCCCGUGGACUUAGCAUGCGCAUCAGCUAAGCACAGAGUGGGCGCACAUCAGCACAUCACAAGACAACAAAUAUAGCCUUCUAUGGUGUUACAUUUAAGUUGUAGAAACUAAAAAUUAUGUUACAUUUAAGAAUUUACGAUGCACACUUUAAGGUGUUCGACGAUAAAAUUAAUAUUCUCAUAUUAAUUUCACGUGGACUAUAUCAUCCUUCAGUCUUCACCCUUUGUUCUGUAGCAUUUAGCUACCUCAAAAUAUUUCCUAGCAAAACUUUCGAUGUGCCUCAUAGGUACAUGACAAAUCCUUUCCUUAUAUAGUUACGCUAGGUUUGGUAACGCUCCAUGAGAAGCUCCUCGACUCCAGUAACGAAAUGUUCUCCUGUUGAACCGUUGCACAAUUCAAGCUCUAGAAAAUAAAUGCACUAAGAAGAGCACGAACAAGGAGCAGGGCCAAAAAAGGAAGGUUUGCUUAGCUCCAUGUCACUUGGUCGCUCCUGUGGGCUCAGCAUUCACAUAAGCUAAGCAUGGAGUGGGGCGCAUCAGUGCAUCACAGGUUUCGAGGGUAGAUACCCAAGGUACCCCACGACACGGCCUACGAAACAAUUUAGGUGGCCCAGCAUUUACAGCGCACCUCGACCACACUUCAUCCCCCAACCACGUAGCACACAGCCACCUCGACCACCUCUGGCCUCGGCCAAAGGAGCACAGAAAGGAUCGAGGGGUGGUCGGUGCAUUAAAUGCACCUACCCUGAUAGGAUGCGCAUGCACCACGCACACUUCUCUAGGACAAAGAAGGACGAUCAUCCAACAGACCGUAGGACCUUGGCAUGCACCAACCACCCUUUGGACCACAAGGUCCUAGGGUGGAGCAUCAUCUCUCAAACCAAUCCCUCGCAGAGUCAAGGACUACACCAUGAUAGGGUGACAUCACAUCAUGGCUUUAGAUCGCCUAACCUCUGCUUGACUCAACGGGGAGGCGUAGGGCCGUGCUUACGAUGGGCAUGGGCCUCACGGCUGCGAGCCGACUUCCCUAGAACCAACCAAAAUGAAGAUUCCUCAACUCAACCACAUAUGGUCUGAGACAACGCUACCGCGGCCAAGAGGGUGGGUGGCUUGUAGAGGAUGCCCACCCCAUUCGCAUACUAGCGCCACGAUGCUCCCCUGGGAUAACGGGCGCAAGGGCAAAAGCCAUGACGUGCACUAUGCGCCCACGUUGCACAGGACAGUAGGUGAACAAGAAGCACAACCCGCACUGUGCCACCAUGGCACGCCAUACCUUGACGUAGGGAACAAUAAUCGAUGAUGAUACCCGGACAUGCAAUAGAAGCAGGGACAAGACGUAGAGGGCCCACCGACCAAGCUCGCCAACCUCUCUCACCCCUCAGGCUUUUGACCACUCGGGUCGAAAGAGCACUCUUCCCUUACUCUAGAUAGGAUCUGAACUAUCCUGGUUCCUCUCACUCUCUCAUCCAUGCUUAUGAGCGCCCCUGCUGUAAGCCUUCAGAGCACUUGAACCAAGGAACACGAAGUUGGACCCCUAUGAGCUGGACGUAGGGCUCUGUCCCCAACCAGUAUUCUCAAGUGCCACCAUAUAUUUCCUUGAGUGACGUCGCGCUAGAUUUACUGAUUGGUCCACGAAACACUAAAAAAAACAAAUAUAACCUUCUAUGGUGUUACAAUUUUGUGUGUGUGCAACAUAAAUUGUGAAAAAUGACCCGUAGCGAAAGGUGUUAUGUGACAAUUAAUAUUCUCAUCUUAAUUUCAUAUGGAGUAUAUCCUUCAAGCCUUCACCCUUUGUUCUGUAGCAUUUAUCCGAAUGUUCCCUAGCAAAACUAUCGAUUGUGCCUCACAUGUACACGUAAUCCUUCCCUUAUAUAGUUAUGCCACGUUUGGUAUAGCUCUACGAGUAGCUCCAUGACUUCGGUAUGCUCGGCUCCCUCUUGCUCCCAUGGGCCUAGCGUGUGCAUUAGUGCGGGCACAUCAACAUUGCGGAGUGGGGGCGGAUUAGCGCAUCAGUUCGAUUUGCCUUGGAGUAAUGAUAAAAAGAGUAAAAAAUGUUCAAAAACUGAAUUACAAUAUAGAAAACGAAUACAAUCAAUUCGUGAUAUUUUUAUAUUUUUGCAAUUACACAGUACAAAAAUGGUUGAAAAUAGUUGUGAAACUAACUGAAACUGACAAAUUUUUAUGUUUAACAAAAUUCGAAAAUGAUAUUGUAAUAUAGAAAAUGAUAUUAUAUUAUAGAAAACGAAACCGGUCGGUUUAAAAUAUUUCUAUUCCGUUUUCACUCAGGCCUUGGAGAUGCAUCAAAGUGAGGUGCAGGACUGCAGAGGCACUUGGUGGGAGGGGCGAAGGUGGGUCGAGGCCAUUGCAAAGAGACAAAAAGAAAGUAAGAAAAAAUAGAGGGUUAUUACAGACAUCACCAUUUGCAAAACUGUGAGAUGUUGUUUUGCGAAACCUUUUUAUAACCAAAGUAGCCGGAGCCAAAAAGAACUGCUUGAUCAAAAUAGUUGAAGCAGUUUUGGAUGAAGACGGAGCCACUACCGGACAGCAGGGGUUUGCCGUGUGUUUGACGCACACGGCAAAGCCCAAAUUACACACGGCGAAGGCUUUGCCGUGUGUUGCUCACGGCAAAGAACACACGGCGAACUCUUUCACGGUGAACCCUAUUUUUACUCACGGCCAAAUUAUGGGCACACGGCGAAACUUUGCCGUGAGUCAAUCUUGACACACGGCAAAGAAAAGAUAACGAACGGUGGGAGACGGCCUAACGGCAGGGUUUGCCGUGUGUCACCAUGUGGACACACGGCAAAGUCUCAAUGUUUGCCGUGUGCCAGGGUUGGGCACACGGCAAACCCCAACGAAAAACGGCAAAGAAAAGAUAACGAACGGUGGGAGACGGCCUAACGGCAGGGUUUGCCGUGUGUCACCAUGUGGACACACGGCAAAGUCUCAAUGUUUGCCGUGUGCCAGGGUUGGGCACACGGCAAACCCCAACGAAAAAAUUUAAAGUCUUGAACUUUUUUGCGGCCCAUGGGAUUCGAACCCAUGACCUCCCUCUCGCGUUUCUUCACUCUUAGCCACUGCACCAUACUAUGACUUCUGUUUAUAUUGCAUUUCGGUUGCUCAAAUAUUAUAUCAAAUUAUGUGUAAAUUGAUAAUUUGAGGUCCUAAAUGAUUUCAAAUCAAAAAGUUGUCAACUACAAAGUUUCAUAACUUUUUGGGAUCUACAAUUUUCAUUUAGGGAGUUUCUUCAUCCGAGGUCGUUUACAAAAUUUGAAUUUCAAAUUUGAGAAAUUCAAACGUAGUUUUUGCAUGACAAGAUGAUUCCAAAAUAAAAAGUUGUCAACUACAAAGUUUCAUAACUUUUUGAGAUUUACAAAGUUUAUUUAGAGAGUUUUUCCAUCCGAGGUUAUUUUAAAAAUUUAAAAUUUAAAAUUUUCAAUUAAAAUGCUGAAAAUAAUUAAGAAAUAGUAAACAAUUCCGAAAAAUUUCUAAACUUGGACACGACACAACCUAUAUGGUGCAGUGCCUAUAGAAAAAGUUUUAAAAUCAAAUUCAAAUAUAAAAGUCAAAUCUACUCCAACUCAUGCUUCUUCACUCAUAUCUCUAUGGAACUUAUUCGAAGAUUGUCUGGUUUCUAUACAUCAUACAUGACAACUUGUUCAAAAUCUUUCCAAACUUUUUUUAUGGCCUCUAUGUAUGAUAACAUGACAUAUGUAUAAGUUUCAGGAUUUACGGAAUAAAAUAGCAUUUAUUAGAAUUUUUGAAAUGUACCGACACACGUUCCGCGUCGUGUCUCCUAACCACGGCAUUCAAAAGUCAUUUCCGUUUCGAAUGUGUGUUCUCAAACAGGGUUGGGUAACAUGAAUAUUAUUUUUUUGAUAUUUUUUCCAACUAUUUCACUGACUCGUAGUUCAAAUUUGAACGUAACCGGAAAAAUAAAAAUAAAUAAUAUUAAUUGUAAAAAUAUAGCAAACAUGUUUCAAAUUUUAUGAAAUUUGAGUAUGGAGUUACAAAUGGUGAAUGUGUAGAGAAGAAAAAAUUUGGAGGACAAAAACUGAAAAAAAGAUAAAUUGUUUGUCGUGUGUCGCACCCGUGGCACACGGCAAAGUUUGUGUUUGCCGUGUGCCAGCCUCAAGCACACGGCAAACCCAGGCUUUGCCGUGUGCCUAACGGCCGCACACGGCAAACGUUGACGGCUGGAGGUGGGCGUUAGCGUGGGUUAGCUUUUGUGGUGUGCCCUGUUUUUGCCAUGUGUUGCUCACGGCAAAAGUUUGAGUUCGCCGUGUGCCUGGUGUUUGCCGUGUGCAACACACGGUAAAGGACAAAUAUACCGUGUGCCUAGCGUUUGCCGUGUGCUUGGAUUAGACACACGGCAAACUCGACCUUUGCCGUGUGUUGCUCACGGCAAACGGGCGGACACACGGCAAAGGCUGGCUCUCCGGUAGUGAGCUCUACCAAAUGGGAUAUGUUCAUGUGUGUGUGAGACAGUGAGAGAGAGGGCUGAGCUAGUUAGGGACAACAAAGUCAAGCAGUAGGCAAAGCAACAAAUCAUAUUUUUUUUAUGAAACAGGAGGGGUUGAAAAAAAAAACCCUACUGAAAUUUAUUGAAAACAAAACUGUAUAAACUGUACAAGUAAGUUCAAGAAACAAAAAAGUCAAGAAGAAAAUAGCCAAGAUUACACAAACUCCUUGAAAACUGAUUUGCAUGCAUCUCUGUACUGAUCAGAACGUUGUUGGUGUUAGGCAAAAUGGCAUUUAAACUGAACCAGCAGGCCAUAGCAAAAAGGACAAUAAAACAGAAGAUGGUCCAGAUCUUCUUCAACAAUUAGAGUGCAAAAGACACAGUUAUAAUUCGAAAGAUGCAUGUUCCUUCGUCUGAGCAGUGCCCUGGUGCUCAGCCUGUCCUUUAGGACUAACAAAAAAAGAAUUUUCUUUUGUUUUGACAUGUUGAUUUCCAUAGCCAUUUGUAAGUUCUAUGCACAUUAGGAUGACCAAUCAGAUGCUUGUAGGACUUGCUAGAGGAAAAGGUAGGUGAACCCCAUAUAUAGGACCAAACAUUAUUAGCCUGACUUAGCUGCAAAUUCUGAAGAAUAACUGACAGCUCCUAAAACUGAGCAUAGGCUUCAUUAGAAAGUGGCAAAUGAAAGAAAUUCUGGAGAAGUGUACGUAGUAGAGGCUGCCACACAUAUUCAAAGAUAAAUAUGCACUGAUGAUGCGUGCUUCGGUACGUAGAUUUUGGUUGGUGUAUGUAGCUCCUCCUGCGCUGCCUUGAACUCCUGAUCGCCUUGUUUAGUUCCUCAAAAAUUUUGCAAAAUUUUUCAGAUUUCUUGUCAGAUCGAAUCUUUGGACGUAUGCAUGGAGUAUUAAAUAUAGAUGAAAAUAAAAAUUAAUUGCACAGUUUGGUCGGAAUUGACGAGACGAAUCCUUUGAACCUAAUUAGUCCAUAAUUGGAAAAUAUUUGUCAAAUACAAACAAAGUGCUACUAUUCCUAUUUUGCAAAAUUUUUUGGAAGUAAACAAGUCCCUAGCAAAGAGCACAAUCUUGCCUAUAUAUAUAUAUAUGCUUCUGCAUUCCGCACCGCCAGCCCCUUUCAGCUUUGAAAGGAGCACGACCCAGAGAAGAACCCAACAUGAAAUACGACGAGCACCACAUCAUCAUGCAACAACAACACCACAGCAUAUCCAGAAGAACACGAGACAACAAGCAGUAAAGGUCCAAAACAUUGUGCUUAAAUUCUGGUCUGGGUACGGCUCUACAUAAUGAACUCGACAUCAUGGGAGAUCGCCAUCUCCAGCCAAAACAGUACACACUUAAAAACACCACGAAAUUGUAACGAGAAAACGAAACCAACAAGUUUAGCUGCUUUGCACGCAGCCCUGCUAGCCAUAUCAAUCAUGGCAGCAUAUAAAAACGGAAAUUAACUCACGAAAACAGAACUAGUUUAAGUUUACCCGAUCUCUCUGAGAUCGUCACUCACUAGCUUACCGUUCCAUGCAUGCGAAAGCUACCUUUCCCGUGCAUGAUCGUUUAUUCUUGUUGUUCAUUCCCGGUCUGAUCCAUCACAUGAACCAUUUCAUCUGGGUAGGGUCCAGGGCGCCCAUGUUGGGGAGGCCGGCCGUCGGCGCCAUCGCGUCGUCGUCCCUGCCGACGCCGAGGAAGUCUCUCGUGCUCAGAUUGCCGUCGUCCACGCCCGCCAUUCCUGCAGUGCCGGCGAAGCCGUCGGUGCCAGUGCCUCCCAUUAACGGCAGAGAGUUCAUGAUGAGAUCAUGGAAGUGUGCCUCCUGAGUCAUCCCUUCUUCUGCUGCCCUGCUAGUCCCCUGGCCGCUGACGGUGCCGGUGAAGCAGGCUACAGGGAGCAGCGAGCUGGAGCCGGUGUGGGUGGUGGUGCUCGACGUCGAGCCCAUCUGAGCCGCCUUCAUCAGGAGCGCCGUGGCCGAGUUCUGGACCUUGGCGGCCGAUGCAGAUGAGUUGUUGUACAGGGAAGGGAAGCCUCCGCUGAGGUGGCUUCCGACGGACGCCGCCAUCAGGUUGCCAUGCUCUGCGGUGCUUCCACUGCCGCCGCCGGUGACGUUGAACUGG